GGAUGAGUACAGUAUAGUAAGAUAUUUUGAAGAGGGGCCAUAGUCACAUAGCUUUGAUUACAGGAUAUUGUUAUAAUUAUUCUAUUAGUAUUGCUGCUAAAUUCUGCCUAUGCCUAAUUUAUAAAUUAAACAUUAUCAUAGUUCUGUAUUUGUAAGAAAACACAUAGUAUAUAUAGUGUUUGGUAUGAACCAUGGUUUCAGGCAUUCACUGGGGAUCUUGGAACAUAUCCCCCACACGUCAGGGGUGAUGACUGUAUGCAAGAAAAGACACUUUUUUUUUUUUUUAAAAGACGCUUUUCUUACAUGGGAUGGGACUCUCAUUAUUGCCACAGGUAGGCCCCAUCUGAUAUGUUGUUAGACUAAAAUGACAAUGGCUGACCUAGUCUUAAAAUAUCUGUGAUGGUUGCACUUUUGAAUGAAAAUAGGCACAGAAGACAUUCUUGUGGUGGGAGGUGGUCAUCAUAUCAUUUUCUCAAUACAGUUUUUAAAGCAGCAAAAACCCAGCUAUAUGCAUUUAAGAUUAGGUUGAAUAGGUCAGUCAGCACACAGAGGCUUUUGCCUGCUAAAGGUGAAAGCUACUGGAAGAUCAAUUUGAGUUAUCAAAUUGCCUCAUUUUAUCUGAAUAUUAGCUUAGGGGCAGGUUAUGGUAUUAGCUUAUAAAUGGGGCAUAAAGCCUGUUGUGAAGCCAGAGAAAUUCAUUCUGUAGAGGAAAUGCUAGAUUCAGGUUCAUGGUCAUCUAACUUGAAUAUGAAAUAAAAGGAUAUGCCUCUCUUGUUGAAAUGUAUCCAAUUGCAAGAAAGUUUAACAGCCCUCCCAAAAAAACUAUAGGAAUACCCAGCCUUCUGCCUCAUGUUGCGACAUCCAGAUAUAAACAGUCCCACAGAUGUCACUUCCUGCCUGGAGCCUUUCACAUACCACCUCCCGAUCCUCCCCCAAGCUGAAAGGAAUAGCUGCUCUCCUCAGAACUCCCUUGAGUGAUUAAACCCAACUAGU